rnacentral:rRNA from 1 species
UUGCACGCUGGCGGCAUGCUUUACACAUGCAAGUCGAACGGUAACAGGCCUUCGGGUGCUGACGAGUGGCGAACGGGUGAGUAAUGCAUCGGAACGUACCCAGAGGUGGGGGAUAACGCAGCGAAAGCUGUGCUAAUACCGCAUGUGAUCGGAGGAUGAAAGCGGGGGACCGAGCAGCAAUGUUUGGCCUCGCGCCUUUGGAGCGGCCGAUGUCGGAUUAGCUAGUUGGUGGGGUAAAGGCCUACCAAGGCGACGAUCCGUAGCUGGUCUGAGAGGACGACCAGCCACACUGGAACUGAGACACGGCCCAGACUCCUACGGGAGGCAGCAGUGGGGAAUUUUGGACAAUGGGCGCAAGCCUGAUCCAGCAAUGCCGCGUGCGGGAAGAAGGCCUUCGGGUUGUAAACCGCUUUUGGCAGGAACGAAACGGUGUCCGCUAAUACCGGGCGCUAAUGACGGUACCUGCAGAAUAAGCACCGGCUAACUACGUG